CAGAGAUUUCCAAGUCUAGAUAACAUCAAACGAAGUGGAUCAGGAACGAGUCUUAACGGUGAUUUUCCUUCGUCAGGUUCCAGAAGAACAGCUUCAUGGAGUGGAAGUUUGAACAGCUCGUUUACAUCUCCAACGGGUCCAUCAAACCUCAAACCAAGCCCACUCAACGGUAGCAGCAGCAGCCUUGGAGAGGAGCUUCAAGACGUGGAACUGUAAGAGCUAGAAUCUGUAGUAUCAAAAAGUUUUGCUCACUGUCAGAGGUAGUCCAGUCAAAUGUUAAUCCAUGAGUUUACCCAAUACAUAAAAUACGAUAGGGGCAAUAUGUGUGAGUUUGUAUCCAUUGUUUUUUUUUUUACAUUACAAAUCAUUAAUUUUUCUUGUUUAACAGACUUCAGUUGUUGUACAAUUAUACACAUUAAUGUUCUGUUCAUGAGUAGGGGUUUAAUCAAAUGGUUCACCAUGUGAUUGUUUUUGCUAAGUCACUUCUUCAGUGUCAUCAAGUUGAUAAUAGAGACUUUUUAUAGGCUGAAGAGCAAAUCUGUUUCUAGAAUUGUGAAAGAGUAUUGAGCUCCAGUGCCGUGGUUUCUGUUUAAUUGUGAGUACUUGAUUCAUGCAGGCACAUAAUUUUCACCGUUACCAUGUGGGAUCAUUGCAUCUUUUAUCAAGUGCGAACCUUUUUUGAGUUUUAGUAAUCCAAAUAAAAUAUUGGAAAACAAGUAUUAGGAAUAAAAAACCCUGCAAAACGUGAAAUUUGUAGGGUUUAACAUAUUAAACCAAAUGUAUUGUGUAACCUGCGUCAGAUUGACAUUGUGUGUUUUUGCUUUUGUCUUUAUAUGAAUGCCAGUGUGGGGGAAUUAGUUCAUGUUCUGUAUAUAGGAGUGGCAGCAAUACUGUAGUAAUUUGUAUGAGUAGUGAGACUAUUUGCGGUUGUUUUUAAAGGUGGGCUCUGUAAACAAUGCGUUGGUGAUUAUUUACUUUUGUGAAGCUAUUUUAGAUGAGAUUGCAUUUCUAGGUUACUUCUUUGUCUUGAUUCACAAGACGUUAUCUUAAAGACUCUUUACCAUAGAAUCAAUAAGCGGAAAACAAUCCGCCUUUCUUUCUUCGUUUCUGUUUCUGCCCUAUUAGUUCUUUCUGUUUACAGAUGGGCCUUUCAGUCCCAAGAUGAUACAUUCAUGAACAGUAUUACUUAUCAAGGGAGGCAAGAGGUUGCUUUUUUUGUUCUUUUGUUUGGGACUCCAAACUCUUGUCUUUUAAAUUUGGUUUUCUCCUCUUACACGAUUGGGGUCUCUCCAGUUGCUAGCCAUGUUUGGUUUCAUAACUACUUUGACAUUGUGUUUACAAUAACCAAAGGCUCAAAACUUAUAAGAUACUGGAGUUGCGCACUGCAACAUUUUUCUCAUGAAUCCAGCUAGAGUCUACACUGUGUUUUACCCUUUUUAAAACAGACGAUCCCAUGAAGCAUCAUAUAUAUUAGUAUAAAGAUAAAUAAUAUAGAUAAAUAAUAUAAUCAAGUGGAGGUUUUCUUAGUCCAAUAGUUUGAGCAAAGAGUUCAUUAAUUGUUUUACACCAGAAGGUUUGGGGUGAAGUAUGCAAAAUAUUAGAAAGAAAGCUUACAAGAGAUUUUUGGCACGGAGGAAGUAGUACCAUCGGGAAUGGAUCUUAUAGGGCAGCUCAGGAUGAUGCAAUCAUAAGUGAAUACUAAUAAAGUAUGUCGGUUGUAGUAUCGUCUCUGUAUGUUUCUCGUAGUUUAUAAUAAUAUAAUUAACCAAUAUUAAAAAAAAUAGUAUUUUCCUAAAAUAUAAUUUUUUUAUUUUUGGGGCUAGAUUGAAAGUUGGGAAGGUAAAAGGAUUAAAAUAAACAUAAAGGUUAUUUGGAAAAUAGCAAAUAUAAGUGGAAUAAUAUAAAGUUCAUUAUUUGACUAUGAUACUAAAUAUUUUUGGUGGGUUCAUCGGAACCUUCAAGUGAAACAUGAAAAAAAUUAUUUUUAUGGUGUCAAGAAAAUUACUAUCAUCUUUACUUUUGUGGAGAAGAUUUCAUCACCAUGCAUUCUUUCCAUGAAAGAUAAUGCUUCUCAAAGCAUUAUUCGAUCUAUAGUUUCAAGUUAAACACCAGUUUAUCUUCUUACGUAGCAAUUUGUACGGAGCCAGAAGAGGCCACCAAGAUUAUUUCGGUUUUUCUGUAGGUUGUAGAUUAGAAGUUAGACUAAUUUUAAAUUAUUUAACUUUGUCGUGAAUGUGAAUAUCUUUUUGACGUAUUUAAACUUUAUUUUGAAUUUGAUGUGACCUGGUUUUUCACAGUAGUAACAUCCUCUCUCCUACUGAGUCUCUGAUCGUAGCACCUUCUGGAGAUUCUUAACUUUUUCAGCAACAAUCUUUGAGGUAGUACUUUCACUUGUUGUUCUUCCUUCGGAGUUGGAGCUUGGAAAAUUUUUGAUAAGUUUUGUAUCACUCUUUCCAUACCCGAGAUAUUUNNNNNNNNNNNNNNNNNNNNNNNNNNNNNNNNNNNNNNNNNNNNNNNNNNNNNNNNNNNNNNNNNNNNNNNNNNNNNNNNNNNNNNNNNNNNNNNNNNNNNNNNNNNNNNNNNNNNNNNNNNNNNNNNNNNNNNNNNNNNNNNNNNNNNNNNNNNNNNNNNNNNNNNNNNNNNNNNNNNNNNNNNNNNNNNNNNNNNNNNNNNNNNNNAUCAGCAUCAACAGCAGGAGGCUGCUAAGUUACCAUAUAGUCAAUCUGCUAAUACAAUGCAAUCAUUGAUGUCACAUGCCUCAAUGGAACCAAUACGUGAGUUGGAUGGGAACUCAAGGACGAUGGCAGUACAUUCUAGAAGUGUCUCAGAGCCAGAUUUCGGUAGGACGCCAAUACAGGUCAAUAUCACUGGAAAUCAUUUAUUUUUAUUUCCUUUUCUGUUAUUGCCUGAUGUCUGGUUUGGGAUUUAUCCUGAGGUAAGUAGGUACUUAGCAUGCAGGUUUAGAAAACCAUUGCUUACUUGCCUUUUUUCUGAUAGGAUCAGCCUGUCUCCUCAAAAGACAAAGCUACUGAUGGGGUGCCACAGGUGAAACCAACCGUGAAUGUGACAAGUUCGCGGUUUAGCAGCUUUGGUUUUGGCAUACUAAAGAACACCGUACGGAGGGUCUUACCAUCUCGGCCAUCUAAAGAGGUGCACCUUAAUAAAUGUUUUAAGUCGUGAUGAUGGUUUUCUUGAACUUAUUCUAAUGUUGGGUCAUGCUUUUGAAUUAAGGCAAAACUGGGUGAGGAGAAUCAGUUUUACUAUGACGAAAAACUAAAGAGAUGGAUGGAGAAAGGUGUAGAACCCCCAGCUGAGGAAGCUGCAUUGCCUCCUCCUCCAACAGUAGGCACGUACCAAAACAACUCACUGGGGUAUGAAAACAGAUCUGACAUGAUGAACGAGAUGUCUCCACCUAGUGGGAGCUGGAGCAGUGGCAGCCCGACUCCAUCCGAGAAUUCUUCGGGAAUCCCACCAAUCUCACAGGGCUCGAAUCAAUUCUCAGCUCGUGGACGCCCAAGGUAAACAAACCACCUACUUGUGACGCUUUCGAAUUAUUCUUAUGUGCUGGCUAUCCUGGAUCAUAAUCAUGAGCGUAGUUGUAGUGUCACAUUAGAAUGACAUUGAGGAGUGAAUAAUAUAAGCCAACGACAGUAUUAAAGGUGAAGCUUUGAGUGUGAAAUGGACAAACUUUUCUUGAUUGUAGUUUCCGGUUGUGUUAGCUAUAAUACUCCAUAGUUGAGUCUGAUAAAUUGUCAGAAAAGCUGUAGACACUGGGGAUCAUCACAUAUUGCCUUUGUUAGAUAACGUGCAUGAUUAGAGUUGAAUCGUUUUUACUUUCUUUUGGGGCAGAUACGUUGACCUCUUUAAUCCAGGCGGUGGAAACUCUAAGACAAUGUUCCAGUCACCUCCUGCAAAAUCUGCUAAACCACCAAUCCCUGCAAAAGCAAAUUUCUUCAUCCCAGCAGCACCUGCGUCGUCUUCAAACGACCAGGUAACCGAGAUGGCAGCUACUGAAACCAGUCAGGAGUACUCAGCAGAAGAAGUAGCCGUCCCUCCACCACCACCAAGCCACUCUUCAUUCCAGUCCCCGACUCCAUCUCCAAUGACAAUGCAGAGAUUUCCAAGUCUAGAUAACAUCAAACGAAGUGGAUCAGGAACGAGUCUUAACGAUGAUUUUCCUUCGUCAGGUUCCAGAAGAACAGCUUCAUGGAGUGGAAGUUUGAACAGCUCGUUUACAUCUCCAACGGGUCCAUCAAACCUCAAACCAAGCCCACUCAACGGUAGCAGCAGCAGCCUUGGAGAGGAGCUUCAAGACGUGGAACUGUAAGAGCUAGAAUCUGUAGUAUCAAAAAGUUUUGCUCACUGUCAGAGGUAGUCCAGUCAAAUGUUAAUCCAUGAGUUUACCCAAUACAUAAAAUACGAUAGGGGCAAUGUGUAUGCAGUUUGUAUCCAUUGUUUUUUCUUUUUACAUUACAAAUCAUUAAUUUUUCUUGUUUAACAGACUUCAGGAGUUAUACAGUUAUACACAUUAAUGUUCUGUUCAUGAGUAGGGGUUUAAUCAUCAAAUGGUUCACCAUGUGAUUGUUUGCUAAG
rnacentral:lncRNA from 1 species